UACGGGGGGAGCAAGCGUUGUUCGGAUUUACUGGGCGUAAAGGGCGUGUAGGCGGUCGUGACAAGUCACUUGUGAAAUCUCCGGGCUUAACUCGGAACGGUCAAGUGAUACUGUCGGACUAGAGUACAGAAGGGGCAACUGGAAUUCUCGGUGUAGCGGUGAAAUGCGUAGAUAUCGAGAGGAACACCUGCGGCGAAGGCGGGUUGCUGGGCUGAUACUGACGCUGAGGCGCGAAAGCCAGGGGAGCGAACGGG
rnacentral:rRNA from 1 species